ensembl:snRNA U6 U6 spliceosomal RNA
GUGCUGCUUCGGCAGCACUUCUGCUAAAAUUGGAAUACAGAGGAGAUUAGCUUGGUCCCUGCGCAAGGAUGACAUGAAAAUUCGUGAAGCAUUCCAUAAUUUU